rnacentral:lncRNA from 1 species
AGGCAGCAUCAGUGAAGACCUCUGCACAGGGAUGAUGGGGAGAGCGAACGGACCAGGGAGGCAGAGACGGCAGGAUCCUGACACACACUGGACAGCCAGCUUAGACCUACUCUGCAAGGCCUUGGUUCCAGUGAGAGAUCCUGCUCAAAAGGGAAUCCUGUGGAAGAGGAGGCAAGAAGUCUAAGAGACAGAGGGUAUGGAGGACACCAAGAAAGCAAGGCCAUUAAGUCAACAAGACUGGUGCAAAUCAGUGUCCACCGAGACAAAGGCAGCAUGCUCAGGACCCGUGUGAGUCUGUAGCAGAGUGAGGUUCUAGACCUGAAAGAAGUGGAUACAUGUCCCUAACCCAGAAGCUGUCUCCAACUGAACCACUAUAAAUGAAAACUUAUUUUCCUCUAAUGGAGUCUCGUUGGAGAAACAAACCACCCUAAGGGCAGGCUGCGUACC